rnacentral:rRNA from 1 species
AACUUAAAGGAAUUGACGGGGGCCCGCACAAGCGGAGGAGCAUGUGGUUUAAUUCGAUGAUACGCGAGGAACCUUACCUGGGCUCGAACGUAAGAUGACUGUAGGUGAAAGCUUACAUCUCUUCGGAGCAUUUUACGAGGUGCUGCAUGGUUGUCGUCAGCUCGUGCCGUGAGGUGUCGGGUUAAGUCCCGUAACGAGCGCAACCCUUGUCCUUAGUUACCAGCACGUUAUGGUGGGCACUCUAAGGAGACUGCCGGUGACAAACCGGAGGAAGGUGGGGAUGACGUCAAGUCAUCAUGGCCCUUACGGCCUGGGCUACACACGUGCUACAAUGGUCGGUACAAAGGGUUGCCAAGCCGCGAGGUGGAGCUAAUCCCAUAAAACCGAUCGUAGUCCGGAUCGCAGUCUGCAACUCGACUGCGUGAAGUCGGAAUCGCUAGUAAUCGUGAAUCAGAAUGUCACGGUGAAUACGUUCCCGGGCCUU